UGCCGCCUCUUAUUGACAAGUAGUAGUAGUUUACUUCACUGGUCAGACAGACUCAAGACAUCUUUUAGCGUUGACUAUUCAGAUUAUUAACAGACGCGUGAUGAUUGGAGAUCUGAUCGGCACAUUUGUUUUUAUCCUGGUUACAGUCUUCUUCGUCAAUGAUUUCUCUUUUUCUUCUUGUAAUUUUUUUUUUAAUUUAGGUUCUUCUUCUGAUUAUUCCAUAUAUGAUAACGAAUUUUCUAAAUAUGUUUCCUUACCUUACUUAUAUA